rnacentral:rRNA from 1 species
UGGGGAAUAUUGCACAAUGGGGGAAACCCUGAUGCAGCAACGCCGCGUGAGUGACGAAGGCCUUCGGGUUGUAAAGCUCUGUCUUCACUGACGAAGUAUGACGGUAAGUGAGGAGGAAGCCACGGCUAACUACGUGCCAGCAGCCGCGGUAAUACGUAGGUGGCAAGCGUUGUCCGGAAUUAUUGGGCGUAAAGCGCGCGCAGGCGGUUUCUUAAGUCUGAUGUGAAAGCCCACGGCUCAACCGUGGAGGGUCAUUGGAAACUGGGGAACUUGAGUGCAGAAGAGAAAAGCGGAAUUCCACGUGUAGCGGUGAAAUGCGUAGAGAUGUGGAGGAACAACAGUGGCGAAGGCGGCUUUUUGGUCUGUAACUGACGCUGAGGCGCGAAAGCGUGGGG